AAUAGGCUAAUUAAGAGCGUAAGGGGAAUGCCUUGGCUCUCAGAGGCGAUGAAGGACGUGAUAAGCUGCGAUAAGCUGUGGGGAGUGGCACAAACACUUUGAUCCGCAGAUUUCCGAAUGGGGUAACCCGGCAUAUUGAAGAUAUGUCACACUGUAAAGUGAGCGAACCUGGUGAACUGAAACAUCUAAGUAACCAGAGGAAUAGAAAACAAAAGUGAUUCCGCUAGUAGUGGCGAGCGAACGUGGAACAGCCUAAACCUAUGUUGUUAAGGCAAUAUAGGGGUUGUAGGACCUCAACAUUUAAUGCUAAUAGAACUAGAAUUUACUGGAAAGUAAAACCAUAGA
rnacentral:rRNA from 1 species